GGGGAGGUGAGUAUGUCUGGGAACUGCCUGAUGGAGGGGGAUAACUACUGGAAACGGUAGCUAAUACCGCAUAACGUCGCAAGACCAAAGAGGGGGACCUUCGGGCCUCUUGCCAUCGGAUGUGCCCAGAUGGGAUUAGCUAGUAGGUGGGGUAACGGCUCACCUAGGCGACGAUCCCUAGCUGGUCUGAGAGGAUGACCAGCCACACUGGAACUGAGACACGGUCCAGACUCCUACGGGAGGCAGCAGUGGGGAAUAUUGCACAAUGGGCGCAAGCCUGAUGCAGCCAUGCCGCGUGUAUGAAGAAGGCCUUCGGGUUGUAAAGUACUUUCAGCGGGGAGGAAGGGAGUAAAGUUAAUACCUUUGCUCAUUGACGUUACCCGCAGAAGAAGCACCGGCUAACUCCGUGCCAGCAGCCGCGGUAAUACGGAGGGUGCAAGCGUUAAUCGGAAUUACUGGGCGUAAAGCGCACGCAGGCGGUUUGUUAAGUCAGAUGUGAAACCCCCCGGGCUA
rnacentral:rRNA from 1 species